AAUCCAUAGGUUAAUGAGGCGAACCGGGGGAACUGAAACAUCUAAGUACCCCGAGGAAAAGAAAUCAACCGAGAUUCCCCCAGUAGCGGCGAGCGAACGGGGAGGAGCCCAGAGCCUGAAUCAGCAUGUGUGUUAGUGGAAGCGUCUGGAAAGGCGCGCGAUACAGGGUGACAGCCCCGUACACAAAAGCGCAUGUGCUGUGAGCUCGAUGAGUAGGGCGGGACACGUGGUAUCCUGUCUGAAUAUGGGGGGACCAUCCUCCAAGGCUAAAUACUCCUGACUGACCGAUAGUGAACCAGUACCGUGAGGGAAAGGCGAAAAGAACCCCGGCGAGGGGAGUGAAAAAGAACCUGAAACCGUGUACGUACAAGCAGUGGGAGCACCCUUUGGGUGUGACUGCGUACCUUUUGUAUAAUGGGUCAGCGACUUAUAUUCUGUAGCAAGGUUAACCGAAUAGGGGAGCCGGAGGGAAACCGAGUCUUAACCGGGCGUUAAGUUGCAGGGUAUAGACCCGAAACCCGGUGAUCUAGCCAUGGGCAGGUUGAAGGUUGGGUAACACUAACUGGAGGACCGAACCGACUAAUGUUGAAAAAUUAGCGGAUGACCUGUGGCUGGGGGUGAAAGGCCAAUCAAACCGGGAGAUAGCUGGUUCUCCCCGAAAGCUAUUUAGGUAGCGCCUCGUGAAUUCAUCUCCGGGGGUAGAGCACUGUUUCGGCUAGGGGGCCAUCCCGGCUUACCAACCCGAUGCAAACUGCGAAUACCGGAGAAUGUUAUCACGGGAGACACACGGCGGGUGCUAACGUCCGUCGUGAAGAGGGAAACAACCCAGACCGCCAGCUAAGGUCCCAAAGUCAUGGUUAAGUGGGAAACGAUGUGGGAAGGCCCAGACAGCCAGGAUGUUGGCUUAGAAGCAGCCAUCAUUUAAAGAAAGCGUAAUAGCUCACUGGUCGAGUCGGCCUGCGCGGAAGAUGUAACGGGGCUAAACCAUGCACCGAAGCUGCGGCAGCGAC
rnacentral:rRNA from 1 species